AGAGGGUGAGAGAGGAGGGAGAGAAGGGGGUGGAAGGGAAGAGAGGGGCAGGGAAUUCACACUGGCCAAAUUCCAGAUUUAACUUUUAAGUAGAAGUUCCAGGUUCCUCCCUCUUUUCAAUUACAGACUUCCUUAAUCCCACCACCCAAAAGCGGGCUCCCUCACCUGCUCUGUUCUGACAGAAUACUGAAAGGUGGCCACACCCUUAACUAGGAAAGCAGGUGGGGGGUGAAGAGCAGCAGGUGAGAAUGAAAGGAUUUAGGGCGUCUUUCCCAGGCCUUGCUGGGAGCCUUGAGGUUGCUCGCCUGCCACACUGGCCACUCUCAAGGCUUUAUUGACAGCUCCACCUUUCCCUCUGUGGGCCCUGCUCUGAUCCACACGAGUCCACACGUCAGAACUAGGUCCUCCCUCCUUUUAAGUGCUGGGUAAGGGGAAAGGCCAGGGCCCAUAUGGGUCACAGGCAAGAAAAGUGAGAAAAUGAGAAGAAAGAAAAAAAGUUUUCCCCAUGCCCAUCUCCCAGCAGACAUUACUAACAGUUGCCAGCUUCUAGAGGCUAGUGUUAGCCUGUACCUGUCAACAUUUGUCGGUUUCUGAAAAUCCAGACCAUACCUCAAAGGCGGUUACUUAGUGGAGUUGAAGCAUGCUAUUGGUUACUGUAUCGAGUUGAAGCACGCUAUCCCAGCGCACACCUGGGUUCUGCAAACACCCAAACCCUUGGCAGCUUAGAGAGGAGGGGCCACAGUCUGCCCUUCACUGUCUUCUAGGUUUCCCACGCUCUAUUGCUUAAAAAGAACAAAAUGUAACCAAGUCUUCACAGUAAGGAAAUGAUUAACUUCUUCUGGGAAAGCCGAGUUGCUUCCUUGACUCCUUACAGAGGAGUUCACUGAGCCACCUCUUCUCCUCGGCAGGCAAUAGGGGACCGCAGGCUGACGGCAAGUGAGGCUGUGCCCAUGUCUGCUGGACCCUAUGCAGGGAUGCCCUGCUUAUCAACUCGGACUGUCAUAGCCAGCUUCCCGCCUUGUGAACAGGUCCGUGCCUCACACCAGAGACAACGGCUUCCAGAGGUGCAAUAGCUCAUACCUGAAAUCCCAGAACCAGAGAUGCUGAGACAGGAGGACUCCCACUGCCCUGUACAGAAAGGAGAAUAAUUCCAUUUUCUUUCAAAAGUCAGGUUUGCUACAGUCCACGAUGUCCUUCACUCUGACAAGACCCAGUGAGAGUUAGUCCCUGGCCUAAACACUGGUGCAAAGGCAUCUAUCCACCAAUUGCCCCUCUGGCUUCCCUUCCUGAGCCCCCGCUGUUAAAAGGUUUCCUUACUCUGCCACCCACGGACACACCCCAAGCCUCUGUUGACAUCCACGCAGCAUCCUGUACCCAAAUUGCUGUACUGUAUUUCCCUGACAUCGUACAUCCUUUAAGACCAUCACGUCUUCUCAGAAGGCCUUCCGGUUCCUCCCAUCUCUUCUCCAUUCCCGGCAUGCACAUGUGAAGCACCCAUCUGCCAGCCAGACCUCAUGGCUACAGCCUCCCACCACAGCGUCUGCUGGCCCUACCCUGAAUACGGACAGGGCUUAUAACCAGUAGAGAAUAAAACCAGCCUUAUUUUCAAAUGUGAGGGCUAAGAAUCUAAGUGACUGUCUAAAAGUCUGACUUGUCUACUUGCUAAGCCCCUUUCAGGCCAGUGCUAUGAAUCCCAGCUCCUUCCCCUUCCUAUCUGCAGGCAGACCGGUUCAGACAGUCCAGCCUUGAGGAUGAUGAACACAUCCAAGCAGCCCCAGAAAGAGCGUGGGUCGGUUCCUGGAAUGGCAGGCUCGAGGUCUGGAUAACAGGGUGAGGGAGGGGGGCUGAAAAAAAAAUAAAAAUGUAGCUUGGGAACCAACCAUUGGGAACCAACCAAUAAAAGAGCCAGAAUGAUAAGCCUUUAUAGUUACUAUAUACUUUUAUAAGAAACAAACACAAGGAUUUCGAAGUAGGCAAAGAGAGCAUAGAAAGAAAAUAUUAGGAGAAGGGGUGUGGCUAAGUAGAAAGCACUUCCCGGUCAUGCGUGUAGCCCGGGCUUGACCAUGGCUGCAUGGUAGGUGGAUGGGUGGAUGAAUGGAUGGACUGAUGGAUAGAUGGAAAUGACAGACGGUAAAUAAAAGGUAGUUCACUGCUAUAAAGGCCCCACUGGAGAUGAUGUGCACAGUGCAAGAGAGGCAGACAGACAACGGGAAAGGACACUCAAAAAGGCCCAAGGACCAUCCAAACAUGGGAACAGGGAAGCCUAGGGGCAUGGCAGGUCUUUUUCCUGUGGGGCUCACUGGUCCAAGAACAAGUUGGCCCUGGGUGACAGGUAUUUCCACAGGGCUAUCUGGAAAAUACUUCAAAAUCUGCAUUAUUUUCUCCUAAACUUCCCAGGUCUGACCUCACAUGGGUUAUGGUCAAUUGUACAAAGGAAGUUGUCCACCAGGAGCCACGAAUCCUCCCCUUGUCAUCUGCCACACCCUUCUGCGAUCUGCCAGGAGUGUUCUUGCAGGCCCCAGGGUGGCCCAUCUUCUCCCUUGUCUCUAUCCCUUGAAGAAUUCCUGACCACGUACUUACCCCACGACCUCUGAGAAAAGCCCACCAGAGUCCCUACCUGUUCUUGUGUUUCAGAUGUGGGUCAGACAUACAGCAUUGUUCAGAGGUGUGCCUGAGGGGUAGCUAGCUGAACAGCCCCAGUCAAUGUCGUUCCUAACACACUGAGCAACAGAAGACAAUGACUUUCUCUAGAACCUAAGCUGUCUGCCGCUGGUGGAAGGGACUCGUUCCUCCACUUGCCAAGGCGAAAGAGACCAGUGACCAGACUAGACUGGGAAAGGACAGAGGGAGAAGGCGGAAAGGGAUGGCGGCACACUAUGUGAGCCCCUGCAUGGAGCUACAGUAGCCUAAGGAAUGAAUAUGCCCUUCUCUUGGGGUUGGAGCCAGUGGCAAGAGACCUGGGUACUCACUUCCUCUUUUCCCACUAUCCUACAACUGACUGUGCUUCAACCAACUUGAUUUUCCCAGGUUCUGUGUUGUUUGGUUUUGGGGUGUUACAGAUCAAAGCCACAGGCUUGCACAUAGCAGGAACACAGCCUAUCACUGAGCUGUGUCACCAGCCCUCAGCUGUUCUGUUGGUUUUGGUUUGGUGUGGUUUUGGUUUGGUUUGAGACAAGGUUUUACCAUAUAGCACUGGCUAGCCUCUUACAUAAAGCACCCCUGCCAAGGCCUCCUGGGUUCUGGCAUUACAGGCUGGUACCACCAUUACAGGCUGGUACCACCAAGCUCAGCCCAGCUUCUUGAACUAAUCCUUAACUUGUCCUAGACAAUUUUUCUCAGACUUGAUUGUCCUCUAUAGAUUUACCUCUAUAUUUUACCGAUCCUUUCUCUAGAUUUUAUGCUUAUCUGACUCGCUUAUCAAGUUGUAUUACUCGACAUGCUAUUACAAACAGUAUACAUACAGAAGAUGCUCGUUUUAGACAUAACUGGGAAACAGAAGUAAUACAACGGCCUUCCGGGUAGAUGACUUAAAUGCUAACAGAAUGUGUGUAUGCAGAAGUAUACACAGGUAGUAACGUGAUGGUGGGAAAAUACAUGUUUAGUGUGGAACAUACCUUUUCAGCUUUUUUAGUUUUAUGAAUUUGUGUGUGUAAGAGUUUCGCUGCAUGUACAUCUGUGACCACAUGCAUUUCUGGUGCCCAAGGAGGUGGUGAGCCUCCACGGGAGUGCUGGCAACAAAACCUGGGUCUUUUACAAAAUCAACAGCUCUUAACUACUGAGACAGCUCUCCAGCCCCGAGAAAAUAUUCUUCAUAAAUUAGUAAUCAAACAGUUUCCUUACAGAUGUUCUUCUUUUUAUGUUAUGUGUAUCAAUGUUUUGCCUGCAGGCAAGUCUGUGCACCACAUGCAUGCCUGGUGUCCACAGAUACCAGAAGAGGGCAUUGGAUUCCCGGAACUGGAGUUGCAGGGGUGGUGACACGGGGUUCACAGGAAGAGCAGCCAUUGCUCUUCCCUGACCCAUUUCGUUCAUUUGUUUUGUUUUGUUUUGUUUUUGAGAGCAGGUCACAUAGCAGGACCUACAUUUGCAUAACUAAAGAGUUCGUGAGAGGCACCAACCACAAGAGGCAGUAGGUGUCUAACAAACUCAGACACUUGCUCAUGCAGAGCAGCGCCUGCAGAGGGCGCCCAAGGACAGUGCAGAGGUCCAAUAAGAGCAGGCAGUGGGAUGUGUGCAGGGCCUGACACCUUAAAAGUUUCACAAGCAGAAAGGUAAGUAGGGCAAAGAACUAUAUAAAAAAAAAAAAAAAUGUUUCUGUCUACCUGUUAGUGCAUAAUCUAGUGGGUCAGAAUAGUCCCUCUAUAAAUGAGUCACGUAAAGAAAUAUGACUUGAAAACUAUGUCCAAAAUUAGGAACUUUGGUGGCAGGCCCCUGAAAGGCACCUCAAGGUGAGAGUACAGGGCUGCCCAAAAGGGAACCAAUGCCACAGUUAUUUAUUUAAUUUGCCCCUUAGAGGGGCGCAGGGCAGCAUUCUUCAAGGAAAGCAUCAACCUUGUCAAAGCUAGGUAGAGGCUGUGACAACGAUCUGUAUGAAAGACUAAAAGCAAUGUUAACUAAAUAUUACACUUAAUCAUAGAAUCCGCCCUAUAACGAAGGGAGAACACACCACAUCUUUGGCCAGGUGUGGCUGCACCAGCCUAAGAUCAAUCCCUUCAUUCUGGAGGCAGAGAGGGACCACGAUUCUAUAGCAGCCUGGGGUGCAGAGUUCAAGGCCAAUCUCAAGUUCACAAUGAGAACCAGUCUCAAAACAAGUGCUGUGGGUGUGGCUCAGUGGGCAAUAAAUACUUGCCAACUUCA
rnacentral:sRNA from 1 species